UACGAAGGGGGCAAGCGUUGUUCGGAAUCACUGGGCGUAAAGCGCGCGUAGGCGGAUCGAUAAGUCAGGGGUGAAAGCCCGAGGCUCAACCUCGGAACUGCCUUUGAUACUGUCGAUCUGGAGUCCGGGAGAGGUGAGUGGAACUCCUAGUGUAGAGGUGAAAUUCGUAGAUAUUAGGAAGAACACCAGUGGCGAAGGCGGCUCACUGGCCCGGUACUGACGCUGAUGUGCGAAAGCGUGGGGAGCAAACAGG
rnacentral:rRNA from 1 species